GGCUGUCUUCCUCAUAGAUGGGAGACAGAGGAGGUCCCUCCUAGUCCGAGAGGUUGUGAAGGUAGGCGACAAGGCGUGACUUGUCGUCCUUGGCGAGAGCAGGUGACUUCAUGUUAGGCCAGUAAACGAAUCCGCCUUAUGGUGUAGAUGUAACCACCAUGCCCUGUUGUGGACCUGAUAAGGGAGUCUCCUCAUCCAGAUCCGAGUAGUAAUUGGGGUCCUCGAUCAAAUCCGAGUUGGAUUGUGAUCUGGACAAGUCAGCUUGGUAGACAGGACUCGAGUUUCGAAGUCCGAAUGAGAACCGACUUGUAUUGUAGACUGAUUUGCAUGAUGGCUUAAGUGCCAGCUUGUGGGAAUUAAUCCGACUAGUGGGAGGAGUCAAGUUGUACUCAGACUCAUCCCUCAAGCCUCGGAAAAGGUUGAAAAUUUCAUUGAACUUUUCGACGAAAUCCUCCAAAGCUUGAUGAUGAAGGUUAAUGUUGUACUGCUUCUCCUCCGGGGAUGGCGUAAUGUGGCCGUGGAAGUUACCAGCGCCGUUUGCGACGUAGACCUAGGAUCCAAAGAUGAAUGUCGCGCCCGCUUUGAACGUGACGGUGGGCUUGAUGAUGACUUGAGCCAUUGAGUUUGGCAGUAGAUUCUCAGCGAGAUCCCCUACCUGGCACGCCAGCUGUGGGUUUUUG
rnacentral:lncRNA from 1 species